GACGAACGCUGGCGGCGUGCUUAACACAUGCAAGUCGAACGGUAAGGUCCUUCGGGGUACACGAGUGGCGAACGGGUGAGUAACACGUGGGUGAUCUGCCCUGCACUUCGGGAUAAGCCUGGGACACUGGGGCUAAUACCGGAUAGGACCACUGCCUGCAUGGGUGGUGGUGGAAAGCUUUUGCGGUGUGGGAUUGGCCCGCGGCCGAGCAGGUUGUUGGUGGGGUGAUGGCCUACCGAGGCGCCGACGGGUAGCCGGCCUGAGAGGGUGACCGGCCACACUGGGACUGAGAUACGGCCCAGACUCCUACGGGAGGCAGCAGUGGGGAAUAUUGCACAAUGGGCGCAAGCCUGAUGCAGCGACGCCGCGUGAGGGAUGACGGCCUUCGGGUUGUAAACCUCUUUCAGCACCGACGAAGCGCAAGUGACGGUAGGUGCAGAAGAAGGACCGGCCAACGACGUGCCAGCCGCCGCCGUAA
rnacentral:rRNA from 1 species